AGAUACCCGGGUAGUCCACGCCGUAAACGAUGUCUACUAGCCGUUGGGAGACUUGAUUUCUUAGUGGCGCAGCUAACGCAAUAAGUAGACCGCCUGGGGAGUACGGCCGCAAGGUUAAAACUCAAAUGAAUUGACGGGGGCCCGCACAAGCGGUGGAGCAUGUGGUUUAAUUCGAUGCAACGCGAAGAACCUUACCAGGCCUUGACAUCCUGAGAACUUUCUAGAAAUAGAUUGGUGCCUUCGGGAACUCAGUGACAGGUGCUGCAUGGCCGCCGUCAG
rnacentral:rRNA from 1 species